UGGGGAAUCUUCCGCAAUGGACGAAAGUCUGACGGAGCAACGCCGCGUGUAUGAUGAAGGUCUUCGGAUUGUAAAGUACUGUCAUUGGGGAAGAACGGUUUUCUUGAAAAGAUUGAGAAGACAUGACGGUACCCAAGGAGGAAGCCCCGGCUAACUACGUGCCAGCAGCCGCGGUAAUACGCAGGGGGCAAGCGUUGUCCGGAAUUAUUGGGCGUAAAGGGCGCGUAGGCGGGCCUUUAAGUCCGGUGUGAAAGAUCAGGGCUCAACCCUGAGAGUGCAUCGGAAACUGGAGGCCUUGAGGACAGGAGAGGAAAGUGGAAUUCCACGUGUAGCGGUGAAAUGCGUAGAUAUGUGGAGGAACACCAGUGGCGAAGACGACUUCUUGGACUGUAACUGACGCUGAGGCGCGAAAGCGUGGGGAGCAAACAGGAUUAGAUACCCUGGUAGUCCACGCCGUAAACGAUGAGUGCUAGGUGUAGAGGGUAUCGACCCCUUCUGUGCCGCAGUUAACACAAUAAGCACUCCGCCUGGGGAGUACGGCCGCAAGGUUGAAACUCAAA
rnacentral:rRNA from 1 species